CUUUUUUUCAGGCCUGUCGUCCUCCGCCAUCGUCGCCAGUCAGCAAGCGUCUGCCCCGUCCAUGUACCCGCCCGUACGGAGCAACAUCACAUCAGUUUGAGACUGCAGGUGGAACAAAUACCUGCAGCCUUCAGACGUCUACAGAGACCUGCAACUAUCAAGAAGUAACCUUCACUUUAGCUUUCUAACUGUUGUGGAUUACAGAACUGAACACAUUUUGAGUCUCAGCCAUGUGGACACAACAGAGAAACAACUUCUAUUUGGC